GAUGGAGCCCAUGGUGGGUACAGGUCCCUGUGUAUGGAGAUGGAGCCCAUGGUGGGUACAGGUCCCUGUGUAUGGAGAUGGAGCCCAUGGUGGGUACAGGUCCCUGUGUAUGGAGAUGGAGCCCAUGGUGGGUACAGGUCCCUGUGUAUGGAGAUGGAGCCCAUGGUGGGUACAGG